GAAAGUAUCACAAAAUAAAGUAAACAGGAAAAUAUACUACUGAAAGUGUUGUCAUUGGGUACUAGGACCAACACAGCCUAGGUAACUGUUAUCCCGAGGUACUAGGUUUAACACUACCUAUAUAACCUAAUGAACAUCCGAAGAUUGUCCAAUUGUCCUCUGUAGCAGCAGCAGGUGGGAGGAAGGGUUAGUCCCUGUAAAGGUACUCCUAGUAUAAGUAAUAACCGUAGGCAUCUUUAUAUGUUCAUUACCCACUGUUGCUAACAGAUGGGUUCCGGAAUGGUUAGUCCCGUCCAUAUAUCCCGAGGUACUAGGGAUAGAGCCCUAUUCUAGAUAUCCCGAGGUACUGGGGAUAUGCAGGAUAAUUUACACAGAAGGUACUAAUAAAUUAUCCUCGCAAUUUGUGAUACAAAUAUUCAAAUAAGUAUACACAGGUAAAGGUAUCAACGUAAAGGUACUCAUGUAAUGUGUUCAUGUAUCAGGUAAACAUAUGUAAAGGUACUCAUGUAUCAGGUAAGGUACUAGUAAAGACUCAUGAAUGAACUGACUCUUGUGUGAUUCCUUGUAAUAGGAAUAAUGUUUUGUUAUCUUCAAAUUAUCCCUAUGAUAAUUUACUGUAAUCUAACUAGUUGAUCAUGUAAGUUUACACACUCUUACUACUCAAGGGUGUGGGAAACUAAAUGAAAGAUGCAAACUAUAACAUCAAUACAUAUAUAAGAAUAUAAGUGUAUAUGCAUAGUUUAGUUCAAGAAUGAAAAAUGGUUUUUGUAAGACAUUUUAUGGGUUUUGAACAAUAAUUAACAAUGACUUGAUGUCAUUUUAAUAAACAUUUCAAAGAUAAAACAUUUGGUAACAAUGCGCUUUUAAGAUGUAAAACCAUUUCAUGCAUCACAUUUUGUAGCAUGUGAAAUCUGUUAAAUGACAAACACAGUUAUAAAAUACAUAUCAAUGAUUUAAUAACANCGUUACGGCCAUGUAUAAUUGAGAUGGAUAGACCUAGAGUGAGUGAAUGCCACCUCAUUACAUGUUCCUUGUUUGGUUGUGGAUUUAGGGCGGAGUCGCUCAGUCAACAAUCCUCCCCACCUUAAUUAUACAUUACUAGUAUAUGUUUGGCGAUUAUAGAAAUGCCUCGUGAAAAUCCAUUCAUGAAAAGGUACUUUACUCAAAAACACUCAGGACCCUCUAUAGUUCCGCGUCUACUCUAUCGGUCCAAGUAUCCGUGACAGUGAUACACGGGACGAAACCCGAGACGCCUAGAACUUGUAUGCCCGUUCGGCACAUGACUCUAUCGACCCUCAUUCUAUGUCAUGUCGAAGUAUGCUAACUUCGACGCCUCGAUUAAUCAUGGUUCGACGUCGUGCAAACAUGUGUAAAUCCUUAGUGUUGUGUGAGAAGAACUUUCUCCAUAGCCAUUUGGGCAAAUAAAGGUUCUUCUGAACCUAAACAAAAUAAGAAUAAUAAAGACUAAUCCGAUCCGUCAGUCGUCACUCUUUAUCAAAACCUUCCGAAGUACCCAUGAGAAGGGUACCGCGCGCUGUUAACCAACCCUUCUUAGACAGAAAGAAACCGAAGUGAAGAAACUGCAGGUGUUCCAGAAGACGAUAACCACCCGAAGCAUACUCUGUAGGUCCCCCAGAAAGACCCUUCGCACCUCGUAAAUCAGGUUCGUGAACACAUAGGAUAGAACUCAUGGGACUGACUACUAUAACUGAGUAUGUCACACCCCAAAACCACGAACGGUGGAAACGUUCAGGGGUGGAGGACGUCAUGUAUAGUAUCACAACAGUGUAAUAAAAUAAACAAGCAACAACAUCAUCCAUUGCAUUAUAAGUAAAGUUUUAAUACAUGUGUGUUCUUUCAUUGUAGUAAGACACCAAAAUAUAUAAUCAAAAUAAAAGACAAGACUUGUCUGCUCCGUCUUCUCAAAACCUGGCCUUCGUACCUGUCUACUGAUGACCUGAGAAUACAAGUUAUUUUGAAAGCGAGUAUCAGCUUUAAAGCUGGUGAAUUCAUAAGUAGAUAAGUGUUGUUGCCUUGUUUGUGAAAAUAUGUUAUGAAGGCAAUGUAAACCUUUAAAUGAGAAUGUUCAGGUAAGUAUGAAAUCCCUAGAAAAACCCUUAUUUUCUAUAAAUAUGAAAUGUAGUCUUCUACCAAGACCCGAAUGUUCUGUACAUAUGAAGUGUAGUCUUCUACCAAGACCCGAAUGUUUUGUUUGUAAAAUGAUAGUUUUCCUUUAUUUGUUUAGUACUAAAGUACUUAGUCUAACUCAUCGUUUAUGUGAAAGUAUCACAAAAUAAAGUAAACAGGAAAAUAUACUACUGAAAGUGUUGUCAUUGGGUACUAGGACCAACACAGCCUAGGUAACUGUUAUCCCGAGGUACUAGGUUUAACACUACCUAUAUAACCUAAUGAACAUCCGAAGAUUGUCCAAUUGUCCUCUGUAGCAGCAGCAGGUGGGAGGAAGGGUUAGUCCCUGUAAAGGUACUCCUAGUAUAAGUAAUAACCGUAGGCAUCUUUAUAUGUUCAUUACCCACUGUUGCUAACAGAUGGGUUCCGGAAUGGUUAGUCCCGUCCAUAUAUCCCGAGGUACUAGGGAUAGAGCCCUAUUCUAGAUAUCCCGAGGUACUGGGGAUAUGCAGGAUAAUUUACACAGAAGGUACUAAUAAAUUAUCCUCGCAAUUUGUGAUACAAAUAUUCAAAUAAGUAUACACAGGUAAAGGUAUCAACGUAAAGGUACUCAUGUAAUGUGUUCAUGUAUCAGGUAAACAU
rnacentral:lncRNA from 1 species